AAAAACUACUGCCUAAUAAGCCGAGAUUAUAUUUGUUUUCCUAAAUAUCUGGGUGGUUUGGGGCGGUGGACCAAUAUACCCUAAUAUUCUGAAUAUUUAUUUACUACAUAAAUGCUUGCCAGACUUGGUGUGUAAUAGAAUUGUUGCUCGAUUGGGUGGUUUCGUGGCAACUUCAGCUGGAUAGAUAAAUAGAUGUUUUGGUCGAGCGUGUGAAUGUGGUGACUGUCAAUUUAUUUUUUGUGAUCAUAUAUUUGUGUUACCCAAACAAUGGUAUUACAAUACGCACAACACAACUGGUCCAAUUUAUUCGGAGCUGAGUGGAGCCAAACAGUUGUUUGACCAUCUAUGCAUACAAACUUAUCCAUGUAAUCAGUACAUGUGUUCUGGCCUCUACUCUAACAUGUGUAAUACAAAAUUCUCUUUCAAACUUAAGAUGCACAAUAAUUAAUUAGGGAAACUAGACUGCUUAACAUUUUCACAACUCAAGACAAAUAUAAUGACUGUUAAACAUUGUUGUGUUAUUGGUUUUCUGAAAUAAAAAACACUUUUUCUAUUCUUCAGCUACCUGAAAAUAUGCCUUGUAUCAGUUGGUUUCUUUAUUUCCUUCUAGCCUGCACCAGGACACAUGAAAACACUUGGUUUUGUUUUAGUUGUUUUUUCUCCAGCCAGGUGAAGACGUAGAAAAUCAACUAGCUGGCUGGAGCAGCCCAAGGUCCGAGUACAAAAUGUCCGAUCGAUUAUCAAUAAAAUGUUUCUAAAAAAACAAGGUUAUUAAUAAAAUAAUAGAGAAGCAAUUCCCAUAUUUUUUUAAUAAAGAAGCAGAUCAUGCGCAUACGCUUGCAUGCAUGAAUGUGUGCGCACGUGCGUUGUGUCCGUUUGUGAUAGCAUUUUUAUUUUGUUGUUUGAACACAAAGUAUAAAAAAUAAGUAUAUAUAUGAAAGUUACACUACUAUUGCAUACUGUGGACCAGUGUAAGUUCUAUGCAUUUU
rnacentral:lncRNA from 1 species